CCUACGGGAGGCAGCAGUGAGGAAUAUUGGUCAAUGGGCGUAAGCCUGAACCAGCCAAGUCGCGUGAGGGAUGAAGGUUCUAUGGAUCGUAAACCUCUUUUAUAAGGGAAUAAAGUGUGGGACGUGUCCUGUUUUGUAUGUACCUUAUGAAUAAGGAUCGGCUAACUCCGUGCCAGCAGCCGCGGUAAUACGGAGGAUCCGAGCGUUAUCCGGAUUUAUUGGGUUUAAAGGGUGCGUAGGCGGCCUUUUAAGUCAGCGGUGAAAGUCUGUGGCUCAACCAUAGAAUUGCCGUUGAAACUGGGAGGCUUGAGUGUGUUUGAGGCAGGCGGAAUGCGUGGUGUAGCGGUGAAAUGCUUAGAUAUCACGCAGAACCCCGAUUGCGAAGGCAGCCUGCCAGGCCAUGACUGACGCUGAUGCACGAAAGCGUGGGGAUCAAACAGGAUUAGAUACCCGGGUAGUC
rnacentral:rRNA from 1 species